GACGAGCUCUCCAAACGUUAUUCGGUAUCACUGGGCUUAAAGAGUUCGUAGGCGGCUCAAUAGGUGGGGUGUGAAAGCCCUCGGCUCAACCGAGGAACUGCGCCCCAAACCAUUGGGCUCGAGGGGUAUAGGGGUAAGCGGAACAGAUGGUGGAGCGGUGAAAUGCAUUGAUAUCAUCUGGAACACCGGUGGCGAAAGCGGCUUACUGGAUACUUUCUGACGCUGAGGAACGAAAGCUAGGGUAGCGAACGGG
rnacentral:rRNA from 1 species